AACUCCAUAGACAGGCCAGCACAGCCAGCCUUGCAGCCUGAGAUAAGGCCUUUGGCGGGUGUCUCCCCUAUCGCUCCCUCAAGCCCUCAAGUAAGUGUUGGAGAGAGAGGUGAUGCUUGGUGCUGGUGGAACCCCUGCACAGAGACGGACACAGGAUGAGCUCUAAGUACCCGCGGUCUGUCCGGUGCUGCCUGCCCCUCUGGGCCCUAACACUGGAAGCAGCUCUCAUUCUCCUCUUCUUUUUUUUUACCUACUACGACGCUUCCUUAGAGGAUCAAAAGGGGCUCGUGGCGUCCUAUCAAGUCUGCCAAGAUCUGACCGUGAUGGCGGUCCUUGGCUUGGGCUUCUUCACCUCGAAUUUGCGGAGAAACAGCUGGAGCAGUGUGGCCUUCAACCUCUUCCUGCUGGCCCUUGGUGUGCAGUGGGCAAUCCUGCUGGACGGCUUCCUAAGCCAGUUCUCUCCUGGGAAGGUGGCCAUCAAACUGUUCAGUAUUCGGCUGGCCACCAGGAGCACUAUGUCGAUGCUGAUCUCAAUGAAUGCUGUCCUGGGGAAGGUCAACUUGGUGCAGUUGGUGGUGAUGGAGCUGGUGGAGCUGACAGUCUUUGGCACCAUGAGGAUAGUCAUCAAUAAUAUCUUCAAAAUAGACUACGGCAUGAACAUGAUGCACAUCCACGUGUUCGCAGCCUAUUUUGGGCUGACUGUGGCCUGGUGCCUGCCAAAGCCUCUACUCAAGGGAACAGAGGAUAAAUAUCAGACAACAACGAGCCCCAGUUUGUUUGCCAUGCUGGGCACCCUCUUCUUGUGGAUGUUCUGGCCAACUUUCAACUCUGCUCUGCUGCUAAAUCCAAUCGAAAGGAAGAAUGCCGUGUUCAGCACCUACUAUGCUCUAGCAGUCAGCGCAGUUACAGCCAUCUCAGUGUCAUCCUUGGCUCACCCCCGAGGGAAGAUCAACAUGACUUAUAUGCACAAUGCAGCGUUGGCAGGAGGUGUGGCUCUGAGUGCCUCAUGUCACGUGAUCCAUUCUCCUUGGAUUGCCAUGGUGCUAGGUCUUGUGGCUGGGCUGAUCUCCAUCGGGGGAGCCAAGUGCCUGCCGGUGUGUUUUAACCGAGUGCUGGGGAUUCACGAGAGCCACAGCGUGCACUACACCUUCGGCUUGCCGGCUCUGCUUGGAGAGAUCACCUACAUUGUGCUGAUGGCGCUUCGUGUCGUCUGGGCCAGCAGUAACAUGUGGGUCACUGGGCUUACCCGCCAUCCCCGUAACACUCCCCUCCAACUCAGGAAGAAAUGUGCACAGAGUCCUUAGCUGGGGCGUGUGCAUUCAGGGCCAGGUGCUCAGUUGGCUUCAGUAAAUGCUUGUUGGCUGAUUUAUUCAGAAAUUCUGCCCAGCCCCUACCUUGGAUAGAUUUAUCACCUCUCCAGGCCACCUCUUCUUUCCAAAUAGAGCAGCCUAGGUGUAGAACAAAGGCGCGAAAUCUGAGACCCCACAAAGACAGAGCAGGUCAAAUAGGCCCAAGCCAAUUAAGACUGUGGUUCAGGUCAUGAUGCAGAGCUUUGCUGUGGACCUGCUCCCACUGCGUACUAGCUGGGCAUGCGGCUUAACCUUUCUCGGCCUCAGUCACCCCAUUGUAAAUGGAGAUAAUGAUACUGUCUCCGCUCAUAGGGCUGUUGGGAUGCUACUGGAUUUAAUAAGCGAAUGCAGGAACAUGCUAAGCACAGCCCGUCCCUGAGGCCCAGAGGGGUGGACCUUGGCUGAGGUCUCACUGUGAGGUGGGAAUGUGGGCCUCCAGACCAGAGGGAGGUCCUAUGGCCCCUAGACAGUGGACAGCAAUGGUCAGUUUGACACACCAGAGCCCUGGCCAUUACCUCCUGGAUGUUGUGUGAAUAUUUUCUGGACAUGGCUUAUAUAAAAUGAAAAAGUGAAUUGGGUGCAAUAUAGGGAUGGAUUUUUAAAGAUGAACUGAUAGCCUGAUGAUAAUCAUAUUCACUGAUAACAUUUACUACUGUUAUUGACUGCUUUAUAAGUGUUGAGCAUUAGGCUAAAAACCAUUAUAUGCGUUUUCUCCUUGAAUUCUCACAACUGCCUACUGAGGUAUUCUCAGACUCUAAGAAAUGAUAUUUAGGAGAAGUUAUCUGCCCAAGAUCACUGGGUUGGAACCUGGCUGUAAAAAUGGCUGAAGCAGGUGAUGAGGAGCUGAUGUGUUUGGAGGUGUCUCAGAGAAAUCAUGGAGGUGCUGGGGUUCCUUCUGGUUCUUGGAUGCCUUAUACAGAGACAACCGUAGCCCCAAAUUAUAGGGAUCACAUAACAGUGGGUGAGACAUCCUUGCUUGGGGUGAGGAGGGGAUGACCUGUGUGAAGCAAGGCGCCUCUGUCAUGGGUUCCAGUGAUGUGUCUGCCACUGUCUUAAUAACUGUGCAAUUCUAAGCAGAAGCUUUCCUCCCUCUGGGCCUGAUAGUUCCCCUCUGUAAGAUGAGGACUUGACCUAGCAAGGUCCCACUCGGAUGCCUGUAGAGAACAGGCAGGGGAGGUUAGAAAAAAAAAGCCCGUGAAGGAAGGGAGCUCUUCAGCUCGCACCCACCAUCACAGUGCAGGGACCCAGGCUCAGUGUUGCCAGAUCCAAUGACUUCUCAAGAGAAGCUUGAAAUCUAGAGUUUUGCAUGUGCUCUCCCAAGUACUGGCGGAAAAUUCAAGAUAGUUAGUAACACUGUGUGGCUAAAUUCUGCUUGUGGGCUGUCUAGAUCCCCAAUUCUAUGAUUCUGUGGUUCUCUGGAAGCAUUGGUUCUCCACAGCGCCUGCGUCACCUGGAAGCUUGUUAGAAAUGCAAGCCCUACCUGUGGCCCCACCUCAGACCUACCCAAUCAGAAAUCUGGGGGUGGGACCUAGCAGUUCAUGUUUUAAUAAGCCUCACAGGUAUUCUCUUGCAAGCUCAAGUUUUAGAACCGCUUACCUAUAGCCAAAAAAGAAAAAACCAAUCAGUGGUUUGCUGGUAAAGGAUUAACUUAACAACUGGCUCUCCAAGAAGAUAAAGCCUUGAUUGGUAAUACUUGCAAUUUCUAUGGUACAAACGCUUCCCACAUGACUGAGUUCAAGCUGUCAAGGAGACAUCACUGCACAUGGACUUGGGAAGAGAUGAGAACAAUCAGCCCACUGAGCCUAUGGGAACUGGCUCCAGCACAUCUCUGCAAGUCAACUCUCAUCAGGGAUCGGCUUCCAGGUCCUUCUCAGCACUGGGACACUCAGCUUGGCCAUGGCGAUGAGUAUCACAUCUGGUCUCCUGACAGGU